rnacentral:lncRNA from 1 species
AUGCAGCGCGCGGCGGCGCGAGCAGGUACGGCCCGUGCCUGCCGCUUCCCGGUCUCCUGUGUUGGGGCCGGCCAGGGUCCAGCCCGCGCGGCGCCAAAGUUUGCGCACGCUGCCCCGGAGUUGCGCUCGGGACGGCGCCGCGUGAGCGGGCGACGGGCGGCUGGGGCGGCGCCCCGACCAGAAUCCUCUCCAAGUCCCGCUCGGAGUCCCGCACCGUGCCUGGUUCCGCGUCCAGUCCCGCUCCCCGUCUCAGUCCCUCUCCUAGUCCUGCUCGCGCCACGCCCGGGGCCCCGCUCCUUGCUUCUGUCCUGUUUGGUGCCGGAGCGUGCACGCGGGGCGAGGCAGGGGCGAGGCAGCUGCGGGGCUGGGCGCGCCGGGACCGGUGUGGCGCGCAGCCACAAAGUUUGCGGAGCGCGGGUAACGGGCGCGCGCUCGGGCCCGGGCGCUCGGAGCAAACGGCCGCAGGUGACUGAGCGCUGGCUCGCGGGGGCGCGGCGCGGGGCACAGGUGCGCAGCCCGUGGGCGGCGCUGUGCACGCGGGACGGGCAGACCGGCCGCGAGCGCGAAAGCCGGGUGGCGGCGGCGCGCCCAGCGGGCCCAGUGCCGGCGAGCGGGAUGCAGCGCGCGGCGGCGCGAGCAGGUACGGCCCGUGCCUGCCGCUUCCCGGUCUCCUGUGUUGGGGCCGGCCAGGGUCCAGCCCCGCGCGGCGCCAAAGUUUGCGCACGCUGCCCCGGAGUUGCGCUCGGGACGGCGCCGCGUGAGCGGGCGACGGGCGGCUGGGGCGGCGCGCCCCGACCAGAAUCCCUCUCCAAGUCCCGCUCGGAGUCCCGCACCGUGCCUGGUUCCGCGUCCAGUCCCGCUCCCCGUCUCAGUCCCUCUCCUAGUCCUGCUCGCGCCACGCCCGGGGCCCCGCCCUGCUUCUGUCCUGUUUGGUGCCGGAGCGUGCACGCGGGCGAGGCAGGGCGAGGCAGCUGCGGGCUGGGCGCGCUGGGACCGGUGUGGCGCGCAGCCACAAAGUUUGCGGAGCGCGGGUAA